GAGCACGUAGGUGGGUUUGUAAGUCAGAUGUGAAAGCCUCCUGUUCAAAGGAAGAACGGCAUCUGAAACUGCAGAUCUUGAGUGUAGGAGGGGAGAGUGGAACUUCUGGUGGAGCGGUGAAAUGCGUAGAUAUCAGAAGGAACGUCGGCGGCGAAAACGACUCUCUGGCCUAUUACUGACACUGAGUGUGCGAAAGUUAGGGGAGCAAACGGGAUUAGAUACCCCGGUAGUCCUAGCUGUAAACGAUGGGCACUAAGUAGAGGGGUUU
rnacentral:rRNA from 1 species